rnacentral:pre_miRNA from 1 species
AUCAUACUCCCUCCGUCCGGAAAUACUUGUCGGAGAAAUGCAUAAAAAUGGAUGUAUCUAGAACUAAAAUACGUCUAGAUACACCCAUUCCUCCGACAAGUAUUUCCGGACGGAGGGAGUAUAAG